GAGAAGACGAAUGGUAAGUCAUCGGGCUCAUGCCCCGAAGAAGGAGGUUCAAUUCCCCCCUCUACAAUUUUAGGUAAAAGGGAAAAGAGAUAAAGGGAAAACUAAGAUAGGCUAAAUUGGACGGGAAAUUCGAAAAAGCGAAGAAGAAGCUUUAAACUCGUGUUUCAAUGCGGAGACGCAAUGAAGAGAACUGAAAAAUGAAACAUCUUAGUAUCAGAAGGGUGCAGAGAAAUCAAACGAGAUUCCGUAAGUAGCGGGGAGCGAAAGCGGAGGAGUCCAGAAAGUGAGUAAAUAGUGGAAGAAAGGAGUUCACAUAUCUAAGACUAAAUGUUAGUCCUAUACUGAAAGCGCGAGUACUGUGAAGGAAAGUUGAAAGAGAUUUGAAAAGAUCUGGAAAUUUGUCUUUUAAAGCAGCUGUAAAACAGCGUACCUUUUGUAUAAUGGGUUUACGAGAUAUCGUUUGGCAAAUUUAAAUAAACUUUUUUGCAAAUAAAAAUGUAGGUGAAGAGAAGUCGAGAAGACUCUUUAGUCAAAUUUCCCGAAACCAAGUGAUCUAACCAUGGGCAGUUUAAAAGAACGAACCGGUGGUUGUGGCAAAAACCUCGGAUGACCUGUGGAUAGGGGGGAAAGCCCAAUCGGACUUGGAGAUAGCUGGUUUUCUGCGAAAACUAUGUAAGUAGUGCGUUCACAUAGGGCAUUGUGUUAAUGAAAAAAUAGAGAAAAAAAUGAAUAGAAGAACAUUAAUCCGUUGGACUAUUUAAUUUUUUUUAUUUGACGCCUUAUUAAAAUUUUAGGGUAAAGGCCUAUUGCUUUAAGGGGGAUAGACUUUGAAGGUAAAAUUUGAAGUGGACAGACAGACAGGGGGCGAAUAGGUCCGUUGUCAAAGGGGGGGAGCCCAAAUCAGAAAUUAAAGUUACAGAUCAAUAAUUAAGUGUAAAAGGAGUAUGGGAUUUAGACAAUGAAGAGGUAGGCUUGGAGCCAGCCAUCUUUGAAAGAAUGCGUAGUAGUUCACUCAAGAACUCUUUUUCCCCAAAAAUUAUGGUGGCUAAAAAUUGAACUGAAAUUCUGAGGGCAGUAAGAAGUUUGCUUGGUAGUAGAACAGACUGUUAGGUGGUGGUGAGAACCCCAGAAUCAGAAGAGAUAAUGUGAACAUGAGUAAAAAAAUUGUUGCUUCAUCUCCCCUGGUUACCAAGCUUAAGAGUUUGGGUGAAACAGCCUCUAAGGAGGUUACCGAUGGGUGAUAAUAAUAAACGCAUAAAGUGCCAGGAAAUAAUUAUAAAUAAAUAUUACUGUUGCGAACUAACACAAGUGGGAGAUAGUGAGGGGGAAAGUUUUCUUAAGGAACUCGGCAAAUUUUUAGCUCUCAUUAGAGGGCUAACCACAAGGCCUCGGCUGUUUACCAAAAACAUAGCUUUUUGCUAAUACGAAGGUAGAAGUAUGAAAGGUGAGACCUGCCCAAUGGUUGUAUCUAAAAGGGUUGGUAAAGCUAGCCUUAUAAAGACAAUUAAAUGGCCGCGGUAACACUGACCGUGAUAAUGUAGCGUAAUCAAUAGUCAAUUAAUUGUUGGCCGGUAUGAAUGGUGUCACGAGGGUCUCGCUGUCUUAAGAAAAUGUCCAGUGAAAUUGAAUUUGUAGUGAAGAUGCUACAUCCAAAUUGUUAGACAAGAAGUCCCCAUGGAACUUUACUGGAAACUUAUGUGGCUUAAAUUAAUUUAUUUCUUACAAAUAAGUAGUUUUAAAAUGUGGUGUUAGCCCCUUGGAUAAAUUGGGGUUAGAAAAGCUCACUCUUUUAUUUUAAGAAAGCCAACUCAAAAAUUUAUGUCUUUGGGGUGUGAUAAGUGGGACAGUUUGGUUGGGGCGACCGCCUUUAAAAAAGUAACGAAGGCGGGCUUAAGAUAUAUUUUUAGUUAUGUCUGACUGCGAAGGGGGGACCCUGAGCAGACACUUAUUUUUUUAGGUGGGUUUAAGUGACCCGUUAAUUUAGGGUGAAAUAGUUAACGAUUAACAAAUAAAAGUUACCCUGGGGAUAACAGCGCAAUAACGUUUGAGAGUUUUCAUUGACGACGAUGUUUGCGACCUCGAUGUUGAAUUGCGGCAUCCUGGGGUGCAGUCGCUCCCAAGGGUUGGUCUGUUCGUCCAUUAAAGCCGUACAUGAUUUGAGUUAAAAGCGUGGUAACACAGCUUGGUUUCUAUCUACAAUUUGAAGAAACAUUGAUAUAACUAUUUUCUAGUACGAAAGGAUCGAAAAAUUAGUGGUUCUCUUAUUUUUAUAAGUUACAAUCAAUGGAUUGACUCGGAUACUUUUUGAAGGGGUCUUUUGGUUAAUUGCUGAUUGCUUCUAAAGUAUGAAACUUAUAUCAAGUUGUUUGAAGUUCUGAAGAGGAAUUGUUUAUUAUUGGGGGUUUUAUCUAAUUGGGUUUGUUUUUUAAUUAUGUUUUAGUUACACUGAUUAGUGUUGUUAUAU
rnacentral:rRNA from 1 species